CCGAUAGAUCGCCGAAGUCAAGCAUCAUUGGGCGCAGUCAGUACUUGGGUGGAUGACCACAUGGGAACACCGCGUGCCGUU